AAAAGAUUAAGCCCUAAAAGAUGCAUCCACAAAAUUUUAAUAUCUAUGGAAGAGAAUAUGCAUGAAUAAAAUUCCAGCUGCAUACAUGACCAUAAUGUUUCUUAUAGAUCCAUAAGUCGUUAAAUAGCCAUACCACUAAUUAUUUGAACCAUUACACAUCAAUGUUUAUGCAGGCACAUUGGCCCAUCAAAUUUUAAAUGAAGCAAGCAAAGGUGUGAAUUUUAUAUCCAUUAGAGCACCAACUUUGUGUAUCUAGUAAGUAUGGCGCUGGGGGGAGAUAUUGCAAUAUCACACAACUAAAACAACAGAGUUCUUUUACCCCUAUACUUUUGACACACUUAUUUGGAAAAAUAUUAUAAUGCAUUAAAAAAAAAA
rnacentral:misc_RNA from 1 species